GUUGUGGGAUCUAUUUAGAUGACCAGUCAACACAAGGGAAAGACUUGAGUUACUUCCAACAGGGGUCUAUUCGUCAGUCAAAACGUUAAUCUUGAAGGAACAAAGGUUUGUUCAUGAGCUGUCAUGCUCGCUAGGCGAAGCCCACGUGUUAGGGAAAGACUUGAGUUACUUCCAACAGGGGUCUAUUCGUCAGUCAAAACGUUAAUCUUGAAGGAACAAAGGUUUGUUCAUGAGCUGUCAUGCUCGCUAGGCGAAGCCCACGUGUUUUGAA
rnacentral:lncRNA from 1 species